CGCAAAUUAUUAGCCUUCUUUUUUGCUCAAGAAAAAAUAUUUAAUUCUCUCUCCCUAUUCUUCCCUUUUCUUUCAUCCUCCCUCACAAUCUGCAGCCCUGAUCUCAAGCAAGCAAUCCGAUAAAUUUGAUUUGUUUAUAGCUUCAAUUCAGCUGCGAUUUUCGUUUAGAUCCUCGCGUUAACUUUCUGUUCAGGAAUCAUGUCACUUGCACGGCCUCACUGGGCGCGAGAUGGUCAUUUCCGAAGUGAUGGUAGGUCGUCUUAUGGCAGAAUGAGAACAACAGCUGCUGCUAACUACGAGUGGAGCCACGAUUGCCCCUCUGAUUCAAACUUUUAUAUGAAGAAUCUCGGCCUGUCCAGUGACUUCUCUCGGGACUCAAUGCAGUAUAGACCAAAGUAUGACCAUGUCUGGCGUGAUGUCGUACCACCUUCAAAGAGGAGGAAGGUCUCGGAUUUCUCACAUGAAAGCACUGGCAGUGGCAGGCCCUAUCAACAAUCCCUUAUUCAUGAAAAUGGUCUUGAAAACAAUGCUGGCAUUUGGCAACAUGUACCUCCCUUAUAUGCCAAUGCUUACUCUGGUGUUCCUUCGGUCUGCAACAAUAGGUCAGCUACAAUAGCUGGAAUGAGGCCUGACGAUGCCGGUGCUUAUUCUUCAACUACCUCCAAGCGAGACCGCUCAAAAUAUGAGGAUGAUGAAGAAGUGAUUUUUAUGUCAAGAGAUGAAAUAGAGAGGCACUCUCCUUCAAGAAAAGAUGGCAUUGAUUUGCUGCAUGAGACACAUCUGCGAUAUUCGUACUGUGCCUUCCUUCAGAAUCUUGGAGUUCGGCUUGAUCUCCCACAGACCACUAUCGGAACUGCUAUGGUUGUGUGUCAUCGUUUUUUUGCUCGUCGCUCUCAUGCCUCUCAUGAUAGAUUUUUCAUAGCUACUGCUGCUCUUUUCCUUGUCUCUAAGUCGGAAGAGACACCACGACCUCUUAAUGACGUGCUGAGAGUGUCAUGUGAAACUUUCCACAAGCAGGAUUUCGUUGUGCUCUCUCGCAUGUUCCCUGUUGAUUGGUUUGAGCAAUAUCGUGAACGAAUUACAGAUGCUGAACAAUUGAUUUUGACAACCUUAAACUUUGAGCUUGGCGUGCAGCACCCAUAUGAAUCUUUGACAUCCACUCUUGAAAAAUUAGGUUUCUCACAAUCCAUUUUGGUGAAUCUGGCAUUGAGCUUGGUCAGUGAAGGGGUCUAUAGAGGAUUAGCAUGCUCACCUUAUGAUAUUAAUAGCUGGCGGUUGAUGCGCUGUUCAUCAAAUGUUUUAUUUUUCAUCUCAAGUUGAAAUAGUGAUAUCAUGUGGAUGCCUUUUCCAUGCUGAACCUUAAUGACAUGUUCAUUGGCUGUAGAAGAUCAUGGAUGAAUCAAAUCUAAUAUUUCCAUUUGGGCAUUCUGAUCGGUGUUUGGAAAUCCGUAUGGGGAGCAUAUGUUUCCCAUUAACUCUAUUUCCAUAUAGGAUGCCUAAGAACAGUCUCAGGGAUUCAAUUCUAGCUGCACUGCUUUUGCAGAAUAUGGCCCAACUGGUUUUCUUUCAUCACUUCCCAGUUCCCAAAAGACCUGCUUUCAUCACUUCCUAAAAUGACUUGCUUUCAUCACUUCCCAAAAAGACUUGCUCUCAUUGUAUACAAUAUUCACCUGAUCACCUCCAAUAUUUCCAACCUCUGCAAACUUACAUUCAAGAUAUUCUAGUAUGCUUGGAUUCUCUAAACAACUCUCCAUGCCUUCCAUUCUUCUAGUACUUCUUGUUUCAGCUUCAAAUUUUUUGUUUUGAAAUUGGUCUGAUUAUCUGCAGUUUUAACAUUGCUGUGAGACAUCUACGGUAAUAAUGUCCUCUUUAUCUAGGCUUCUAAAAGUAAAAUCACUACUCAAAGCUUAGAUUUCAGACCUCUGUCCUUUCCCACUGUAUUUUAAACAAUGAGUCUUAUAUGUUAGAAUUUGAAGAAAAUGGGUGGGUGGAGAAGGGGGGGGGGGGGUAUGCAUUCAAAACAAACAUAUACUAUGGUUUAUAAAUUUAUAGAACUUUUUUGACACUCCCUCCCCUCUUUGAAACUGAUAUGUUGAAACAGUGAUGGGAGAGAAAGGAAUCAUUUGUGUCUUCCUCUUUAUUGGAAAGUAGAAUUCUGUGACGGUCAAUAAGCAUCUUUUGGUAGCUUCGCCAUCGCAUUGCUGUGUGGCAUUAACCCAUCCUACCUUGUCUGUAUGAACCUACAAAAACAUAGAAAUAUCUCGGUUGAGAGAAGUAAUUGCAUUUUCAGAAUCUUUUUUUUUAAAUCUAUAAAUAUUUGUCUACAAGGUGGGGACUUGAGAACUCCACUAGUUUCCAGUUCAUGUUCUGUAGCAUUGUAAAAAAAUGUUGCUCGGUGUAUUAACUUUUCAAAAGCCUGGCUAUAGAAGGAAGGAUUAAUAUUUUUACGAGUACUCUAUAUACAUUUACACAUUAUAAUUGUCCAUAGAUGAUCUCAGUUUGUGUGGUAGUAAUGUUUUUCAGUUUGAAAUCUUAGCUAGCUAAAAAAUUAGUCGCCCCCAGGUGCUGGAUGCUCCAGCCUCGCUUUAAGUGCUCCAUUUCAGUUGUCCUGAGGUUUGGAAUUUGGUAGCGACACCAUCUAUAGGUGUCAUUUAGCAGAAUACUAGUAUUUCUUAGAGUGAUUAGUGUAGGACUCACCUUAUAUUUCUUGCCAGCUCUUACUACAUUAAAUCAUGGUGUGUCUAUCAUGAACGUUUGAUGUGUUAGUUUUAAUGUCUAUAUGGCCGUGGUCUAAUAUCCCUCUUGACAUUUGGCAAGUGAAAACUUGUUUAUUUUCCUGAACAUCCAUAGUACAUGCCACUAUUCGUAAUUCAGUACAAUGUUCAUUACGGGGGGUAGUCCUAUAUACUCCUUCCGUGACAUAAAAAUAUGUGCACUUUCCAUUUUCGUCCGUCCCAUAAAAAUAUGGGCAUUUGCAUUUAUGGAAAGUUAUCCCAAUUUAUUACCCCUAUACAUCAAGUUAUUUACAACUUAUACCACAAUCAAAACAUUAUUAUUAGGGUCCCACUAUCCACUAAAACUACUUUAAACUACCCUUUUCCUCAUAUCUCUUACUUUAUCAAUUUUGUCUUAAUUUCCGUGCCAUAUCACAUGCCCAUAUUUUUAUGGGACAGAGGGAGUAUAUAUAGUUAUAUACUCCAUAAAAUGUUCAUUACUCCUGCAUACAAUGUACAUAGUUAUUUGUUAAGCAUAUACUUAGGGUAAUUAUUUGAUCACGCCCCUAUAUAUAUUUUGUCUUGAUUAGUUAUUAAAUACUACUAUGCAUUUUAACACCUAAGAUGAUGAAUGAUAUCAUGGGCAUUCAUUUGGCAAUCGAUUUCAAUAAUCUGGCUUUGCAUGGGAGAUUUAGCUUGCUUAAGCCUGUUCCUGCUUGUAUGGACAUUUAAGUCAACAUAUAUUUAGCCAGCAAAGGGGGGACUUGAACUGAAGUCAUUGUUUCUAUAAAAGGUGUAACAUAUAUUCUAUAUUAGUAUACACAAUCAACACAUUGCAGAAGAAUCUUGGAUUUUUCCAUCUCAGUUGCAGAAUUAUUCGUUGGCUUAGAAGCUCCCUUUGGCUGCAGUUCAAGCCUCAUCAGAUAGCUGCAGGUGCUGCAUACCUUGCUGCCAAAUUUCUAAAUAUGAAUCUUGCAUCAUGCCAUAAUGUUUGGCACGAGUUCCACACGCCGCCAUCUG